AGAGUGGUGGCGUAGUGGAAAGGUAUUCCAUCGUGUUGCGGCUCUAAAUAUCAUACUCAGAUGAGAGGUUGAGGUUAGAAAGGCAUGGGUUCGAACCCCAUCCGGGCCG